rnacentral:rRNA from 1 species
AUACGGGGGGUGCAAGCGUUAAUCGGAAUUACUGGGCGUAAAGCGCGCGUAGGCGGUUUGCUCAGUCGGAUGUGAAAGCCCAGGGCUCAACCUUGGAACUGCAUACGAUACUGGCAAACUAGAGUGUGAGAGAGGAUAGUGGAAUUUCCGGUGUAGCGGUGAAAUGCGUAGAUAUCGGAAGGAACAUCAGUGGCGAAGGCGACUGUCUGGCUCAACACUGACGCUGAGGUGCGAAAGCGUGGGUAGCAAACAGGAUUAGAAACCCCUGUAGUCC